rnacentral:rRNA from 1 species
UACGGAGGGUGCAAGCGUUAUCCGGAUUUACUGGGUUUAAAGGGUGCGUAGGUGGGUUGGUAAGUCAGUGGUGAAAUCUUCGAGCUUAACUCGGAAACUGCCAUUGAUACUAUUAAUCUUGAAUUAUCUGGAGGUAAGCGGAAUAUGUCAUGUAGCGGUGAAAUGCUUAGAUAUGACAUAGAACACCCAUUGCGAAGGCAGCUUACUACGGAUAUAUUGACACUGAGGCACGAAAAGCGUGGGGGAUCAAAACAGGG